rnacentral:rRNA from 1 species
UACGAAGGGUGCUAGCGUUAUUCGGAAUUACUGGGCGUAAAGGGUGUGUAGGCGGUUUAUCAAGUCUGUCGUUAAAUUUCCCGGCUCAACUGGGAAUCCGCAGCGGAAACUGGUUUACUAGAGUAUGGAAGAGAGAGGUGGAAUUCUCGGAGUAGCGGUAAAAUGCGUAGAUCUCGAGAGGAACACCGAUGGCGAAGGCAGCCUCUUGGUCCAUUACUGACGCUGAGACACGAGAGCGUGGGGUAGCAAACAGG